rnacentral:rRNA from 1 species
UAUCCCCUACGGGGCGCAGCAGUGGGGAAUAUUGCACAAUGGGGGAAACCCUGAUGCAGCGACGCCGCGUGAGUGAAGAAGUAUUUCGGUAUGUAAAGCUCUAUCAGCAGGGAAGAAAUAGCGACCUUUGGGUCGCCAGACGGUACCUGACUAAGAAGCCCCGGCUAACUACGUGCCAGCAGCCGCGGUAAUACGUAGGGGGCAAGCGUUAUCCGGAUUUACUGGGUGUAAAGGGUGCGUAGACGGCAGCACAAGUCUGAAGUGAAAUGCCGGGGCUUAACCCCGGAACUGCUUUGGAAACUGUG